AACGAACGCUGGCGGCAUGCCUAACACAUGCAAGUCGAACGAGACCUUCGGGUCUAGUUGCGCACGGGUGCGUAACGCGUGGGAACCUGCCCUUAGGUUCGGAAUAACUCCCCGAAAGGGGUGCUAAUACCGGAUAAUGUCUUCGGACCAAAGAUUUAUCGCCUUUGGAUGGGCCCGCGUUGGAUUAGCUAGUUGGUAGGGUAAAAGCCUACCAAGGCGACGAUCCAUAGCUGGUCUGAGAGGAUGAUCAGCCACACUGGGACUGAGACACGGCCCAGACUCCUACGGGAGGCAGCAGUGGGGAAUAUUGGACAAGGGGCGAAAGCCUGAUCCAGCAAUGCCGCGUGAGUGAUGAAGGCCUUAGGGUUGUAAAGCUCUUUUACCCGGGAUGAUAAUGACAGUACCGGGAGAAUAAGCACCGGCUAACUACGUG
rnacentral:rRNA from 1 species